rnacentral:rRNA from 1 species
AUUGAACGCUGGCGGCAUGCCUUACACAUGCAAGUCGAACGGCAGCACGGGAGCAAUCCUGGUGGCGAACGGGUGAGUAAUACAUCGGAACGUGCCCGAUCGUGGGGGAUAACGGAGCGAAAGCUUUGCUAAUACCGCAUACGAUCUACGGAUGAAAGCAGGGGACCGCAAGGCCUUGCGCGGACGGAGCGGCCGAUGGCAGAUUAGGUAGUUGGUGGGAUAAAAGCUUACCAAGCCGACGGUCUGUAGCUGGUCUGAGAGGACGACCAGCCACACUGGGACUGAGACACGGCCCAGACUCCUACGGGAGGCAGCAGUGGGGAAUUUUGGACAAUGGGCGAAAGCCUGAUCCAGCCAUGCCGCGUGCAGGAUGAAGGCCUUCGGGUUGUAAACUGCUUUUGUACGGAACGAAAAGCCUCUUUCUAAUAAAGAGAGGUCAUGACGGUACCGUAAGAAUAAGCACCGGCUAACUACGUGCCAGCCGCCGCAGUAAGAC